AUUAGGGUCGGCACGGUACUGAGACAACAACAAACGUCCUUCUUCGCUUUCCGUUUGAGAACGGGUAAGAAGAGGGAUAGACCCAAUAACCCAUUGAAUUUAUACGGCUUCUCUUCGCCAUUUGGGUUGGCCAUCGAACAACCAGGAAAUGGCAGUGUUGUUGGACUUGGUAUUGUGUGCGGCGUAAUUUU
rnacentral:telomerase_RNA from 1 species